AAGGCUUGUCUGGACCCUGCUCGUAAAGACAGGCCAAUAAAACUUCGCUGCAACAAUUGGUGGAGAAUGCAGGCAAGAAAGACUGUGACUUGUGGUGCAACAGCCCUGCAGAACACGAACGGGAUCAGAGAGCACUCAGCACUCGAUGCAACCCACUCAUCUAGGGGAAUUUAGGCCAGCACACAGCAGGCUUCCUUACUUCUUGCGCAGGAGGAGCCUAUAAAAUCCACAGACCAUAGGAUGAAAACCUGCAGCUUAAGCACACACAUCCUUUGUUAUGAAUAGCCAAGUCUUUCUGCAUCUUAAUAUAACCACUACAUAGUUUCAAAACCAUGCUCUGACUUUGUGGAUACCUGCAAUGUAUUUAGAAUAGGCUUUUGUUUAUAUGAGUUUUAAUGGUUUGUUAUCCGGCAUGUUUCCCAUUUUGUCUCCAGCUUUCUGUGUCAAGUUAGGUAACUUAUGAGCAGAUUGUCAGAAAUUUUGCCCCUACGGAGAUGAACUUUUCUGAAUAUCUGGUAACUCAUUUUAGUACUUCUGAUGAAACUUCAGCUUUCCUGAAAAAGCGAGUUUUAAACCUCUGGUCUCUAUUUCCAAUGAUAUUUAGGGUUGUGUUUCAUUGAGUCAGUUUCCUUUUUGUGAAACAUGAUUAGUGGCAUUUUCAUUUUUAACACACACACAUAUUAUAUAUACUGCGCUUGAUAAAUGCAUGAACACUGAAUGGAAAUUGAUAGCAUUUAAAUACCUAGCUGCAAGAAACAGUAGAAAAUCUCUCUUGGCUGUGGAUGCAUAGAGUAGUUUUUCCACAGUUUUGCACUGGCACAUCUACACUGAGGCCAACACAAUUGCUCCAGUGUAAUUAGAAAUUACUUUGGCCCAGGGUUGGUGUGCUAUAAUUAUAUGUUUGCUUCUAGUAGUAGAUAAACUGUAAUAGUUGUGAUCCAAAUGCAAAGGAAGGCAUGACUGAUGCCUCAAAAGUGUGCAGUCUAGGCUUAUGCUUUCGGCAGUCUUUUACCUUACAAACAGCAGAGAGACUUGGUGGAAGAUAACAGUUGGCUAUCCUUGUGUUGGUCUGCUGGAAGCCACUGCCUCAGUGGAGAUUUGCAAGUGCUGUCUACCCUGUGUCAGUAACAAUGAUACAGAUUUGCUAAAUCAUUUGGAUAAUAAUUUGGCGUGGCAGAUUUUCAACACCCGGCUGAUACACACUAAUUAAAACAGCUCCGUCUGUCUAUCUUGUUAUGCUGUGACCUCCAACACGGGAGUUACUGAGUACCUGAGGGCAAGUCAGACUUUCUUUGGCACUGUGGGUUCUGGAAGAGGACAGCGGUUCGCUGCGUUACCUGCUACUUGUUUGACUUUCCUUAUAAUAUCUAUAGAGAGUGAACUGAAGAGUGUAAGCAGAUAAACUGAAGAUAAAUCAGACUAAGUGAUAUUUAUCUGCAGUAUCAGCUAUUUGAAGUGUACCCAUUUCUCCCAUGCUCUGAGCACUGCUGCAUUUAUUACUGCUGCCAGUUCAGUAGUAGAAAACAAUUGGUAGAAAAUCUGUGUGUUAAAUAGCCUGUGGAGGUGGCUGAUCAAUCCAGCCUGACUCUGACGAGGAAAGAGCCCUGUGUCACAGCAUUUCUUAGGGACCAGCAAGGUCCCUAAGAUAUAUAUACAUAUAUAUAUAUUUGUUGUUGUUGUUUGUUUUCUUGAAAGUCAGCUCAGCAGGGAGAGCACUGUGGUUCUUUCACACCAGUUGUAACCCAAAGCUAUUCUCUAAACAGCUUAUUCAGAGUUUUAUAGAGCACAUAUACUCAGAAGAACGGUUGUGGAAAACUGCAGAACAGAAUAAUUCAGAAUCCCUUCACACAGUCCCUGUGUAGUUUGUACAGCCCCGAACAAUAUUACACUGUGAGCUCUCUGAAUAUUACUUAUUGAUUAAAAGCAGAGACAUUUUUUAAGCUGGAUUUGAUAUCAGUUCAAGCUGUUUCCCAUUGCUCUCACUUUUGUACUUCCAGUAUCUGAGUUCUCUCUAAAUUUGCAUUCCAUCAUUUAAAGAUAUCUGCAAUCUCCAAUGUGUGACAUAAUCUUUCUAAGAAAAAAGGGACUACCUCUGUUAUUCUUGUUCUAUAUUUGAUCGAGUAUUUAGAAAACAUUGUAAAUCCACUCUAUAGUUUUCUAUCUCUGUAUGUUACCUUUUUAGAAAACCUCCAUAUCAAAACACUGUACAUACUUCAGGCAUCCAGGGACCGAAUCUUCAGGCCUGUAAUCUUAGCUCUACGCUAGGUAAUUAAGUGGUUAGGUACUGGUUAGAUCCAAAGGCUACGCAGCAGAAUACUUCUCUAGUCACUACCUCUCCUAUAUUUAUGUGAGUGCAUGUAUUCCAAACCUUUUAAUUUACAUUAGGCCCACCAUCUCAUAACCGCCGUGUGCUUGGCUGCAAGCACGUUCCAAGGACCAGAGAAGGAUCUCGAGUUACACACAGGCAGCUUCUUGCCUACCUCAGAUUCAAGCUAAGACUUUAUUUCCUUUUCCCAUGUUACCAUAAAUUAUUCUUUAUGUAAAAUGA